rnacentral:rRNA from 1 species
GACGAACGCUGGCGGCGUGCUUAACACAUGCAAGUCGAACGGUGAAGCGCCUUCCUUUUUGGUGGGUGUGGAUGAGUGGCGAACGGGUGAGUAACACGUGAGUAACCUGCCCCCUUCUUCUGGAUAACCGCAUGAAAGUGUGGCUAAUACGGGAUAUUCUGGGUCUGUCGCAUGAUGGGUCUGGGAAAGAUAUUGUUUCGGUGGGGGAUGGGCUCGCGGCCUAUCAGCUUGUUGGUGGGGUGAUGGCCUACCAAGGCGGUGACGGGUAGCCGGCCUGAGAGGGUGGACGGUCACACUGGGACUGAGACACGGCCCAGACUGCUACGGGAGGCAGCAGUGGGGAAUAUUGCACAAUGGGCGCAAGCCUGAUGCAGCGACGCCGCGUGAGGGAUGGAGGCCUUCGGGUUGUGAACCUCUUUCGCCAGUGAAGCAGGCCUGCCUCGUUUGUGGGUGGGUUGACGGUAGCUGGAGAAGAAGCGCCGGCUAACUACGUG